CGGACGGGUGAGUAAUGUCUGGGAAACUGCCUGAUGGAGGGGGCUAACUACUGGAAACGGUAGCUAAUACCGCAUAACGUCGCAAGACCAAAGAGGGGACCUUCGGGCCUCUUGCCAUCGGAUGUGCCCAGAUGGGAUUAGCUAGUAGGUGGGGUAACGGCUCACCUAGGCGACGAUCCCUAGCUGGUCUGAGAGGAUGACCAGCCACACUGGAACUGAGACACGGUCCAG
rnacentral:rRNA from 1 species